AUUGAUUUAUUAUGGGUGCUGUGUUGCUCGCAACUCUGGAGCAGUUCACCAGGAACUUGGGAAAGUUUAUGUUCCUGUGGGCGACUGUGGUUCUCCUGGGGGGAUUCGUGAACGAUCUGAGAAACUAUGACUUCUACUACGUCACUCUCCUGCUCGUUAGCUAUGGCAUCAGGAGCUUCCGGUUUCUCAACUUAGCCGAAGGCUUAAGGAAACCAAAGGUGAAUUCCCGCCUGAUCCUACUCGUCAUCGCCCUCCUUCGCCUCCUCGUCCUCUUUCCCUUCGGCGCCUAUAUAGAAACCUUGCUGCUGCCUCUCUGGCUGCUGCUUCUCUUGCUGCUGCUUCUCUGGCUGCUGUACAAUGCUCGCUCCGGGCGCUCAUUCGUCAUCGUCUACAACAUGGCCUACAAUACUGAGAUCCUUCUGGCUCUCGUCAGCCUCAGAGCCACCAUCCGCUGGCUACUACUACUGCACCCCAAGUAUCCAAAGUUCAACGAGUUCGUCGCAAUGAUCAGCUUCUUCUCGAUCGUCAUCGCCGAGUCGAGCUUGUUCCUGUGCAUCCGCGGCUGCUGGGAGAUCAUAUCAGUGAGGUACAAGAAGGCGAAGAAGAACAGGGGCCGACCGAGAUUUCUCCUGGAAACUAAGUCCAAGUUCUUCGUUGCCGUGUACGAGACGACGCUGAGAGAUGGAGCCAUCAAGGGGCUAAGGAUGAACUUGGUCGACUACGUCGCGAACGAGUUCUUGCAAUCGAGAGGCAACCGGGAGCUGAGGAAGAGCUUGCUGAUGCUGGAUGCGGUGUGCCACUGGGAAGAAGAAGAUCAGAGAAAGCAAAGUGGGAAGCUCCUCUUGGCAUCUAAGCGUCAAGUUGUGGAGCGGCUGUUCGAGUGCAUGGGCCACAAGUACUAUCUCAUCUACCGGCGAGCGGCGAUUUCUCUAGUGGCCGAGAUCUGCGAAGAUGAAAACGCCUUCUUAGCUGUGGCACACCUCGUCCAGGCCAGUGAUGAAGGCGUCUCGCUUCUGGUGAAAGCGCUGGAGCCGGAUACCAACAAGUCGGUGCUGGAGCUGCUAGGAAAGCUUGCGGCAUUUGGAGGGAUUGCCAAUGCCGAGCCGGGUGUGAUCGCGAAUUUUGAUUUUGCUAGAGGGGAUACGCACAAGGAGUGGAAGGAUUCCCUGCGCUAUACCUUCAAUGGCGAUGGAGAUGAUCCAGCCAGGGUCGAUGUAGAGCCAGAGACCCAGAGCUCCAGGCAGAAGAUCGCAGCGAAUUUGAGGACGCUACUCAGGAAGAAUCACGACUUGACAAGGUACCUCGCGAAUGCUCUCUUUUGUUCCUCCCAGGAGCUCCAGGAGCUAGCUCUAGACGCUCUCGCGGCAUUGCUAGCCUAUGAUCCCAGCCAUGGUGGUCUUCUCCCUGGUUACAAGAGCGUCAUCUAUGGAUUGUUCCAACUCCUCCGUACCUGCCAAGCUGAUCCACUAGGAAGCAAAGUGGCAGUAGUGCUGGAUCUUAUCUGCCGCAAGAAUCACCAGUACCUGGAAACGCUACUCGAUGGAAGCGGCAGUAGCAGUGACGACGUUAUAGCAGUUCUCAUGAGCGCGCUCUCCUUUGGUUUGGACCAUCACGAUGGCGAGAGGAGCAGGCAUGCAAUGUCGAUUCUGUGCAGCCUCCACGACCAGAAGCUGUUGAGCGAGGAGCAGGAGAAAGCGCUGGACAUCGCAAAGAUCGUGGACAUGGUGACCACUAUGACGAGCUCAAGACCAAGUGACCAUGGCUUGACUGGGGAGAGCUCGACCACCCAACCCAUGGAAGGGAUUGAUGUGGCAUUAGAAGUAGCCGAGCUUUGGGGUUUAGCUGCGCGGCCAUCACACUCCUCAUCAGCUGUUCCGACGGCAUCACGGAUUCACAAUCAACCAAGGUCGGAUUUGGCAGAUGAUCUCUUGGAGAAGAGCACGCUUCAUUGGCAAGACCCCCCAAAUUCCCCACAGAGGGAAACUAAACAGAUCAGGAUUCCAGAGAUGCCGCAGCACAGCAUUUCAUUCUAAAUCUUGCUAAAUCAAAACUAAUAUAUUCCCAAUUGUUUGAAGCUUUGGCACGACUACAAGUCCAGUCAAACACACAAGUCUAAGAGAAACGUCAAUGCAGCUUUAGAAAAUUCUCUCAUUCGGAUUCUCUUUUCUGAUUGCCACGCCACUGACUAUUCCUGCUCGAACUGGAGCUUUUAUGUUGACGUACUAAAGACCCCGCUCUACGCGGGAAUGGCGCAAGCAAGGAGGACGGAUCCGGGAACUCGGAGUUUGAACAGUCGCAGGACGAUCAUCUUCCGCUGUCUGCCAGGAAGAAAGGUGAUCAAUAUACCUGAAAGAUUUUCUAGCAAAUCGUUUUGUGUUUGCUUGAAGUUUUCCAUUGAGAGUCAGGCCCCAGAAAAGUUGAAGAAUGUACCGCUGUGAAAGUUAUGGAUGGAUUCAGCAGGUACGCAUGGGUCUGUUUCUCUUGGCUCAACGGCCACUAGCCGUUCCAGAGCGUCUUUGGCUGAUCAUUACAUUGCCAGCAAUGAGCUUUUUCUAAUCUAUCAUUCUCUCUGGCUGUUACUUAACGAAGAUGUUGCAGGCUCGCGCUUUCGGCAGCGAUGCUUGGUAAGCUUUCAUCUUUCGAGGCGUCGAGUAUUGUAUUCCAGGCAUGUCCUCAAAGACGUUGUCGAGAUGCCCGUUCUGGCAUACGCGGAGAGCAUCACCGCCUGCAAAGUGGCAUCCGGGGCCGAGUUGAAAGUUUCCAUGACUCCGAGCAUAUCUCCAUUCGUUGCCGCCAAGCCAAGCCAGGACAUUCCAGGUGGGAAUUCUUCGAAACAAAGCUCUUGCUUGAUCGCCAUCUUCUGGGCGUUCGCUUCCAUCAGAGCUGUCCAUGACACCUUUUGCGGCACCAUAAAACCCUAGUAAAUUUAUAAGGCUGAUAAACCCUUUUAUAUUGAUCUCUUUUAAGCUCCUUGAGAAUAUUCCUAUUUAAUUGGGCCACAACACACUUCAGCCCCACACCUUUAUUCUAUAUACUGAGAAGAGUGUUGUUCAAGUCACAAAACUUACCUGCAUGAUUCAAUAUUCCCGCUUCGAUGGUGUGCAAAACGCUCUACUUACCACCUGACACGAGCCAUCAGGCCCGCUGCCGACAUUAUCCGGCAGGAGAAGGAGCGCUCUGAGAAAGAUACCACUCUAAGCUACCAGCCCUAGGCAGCAGAUUGCCGGCGACAUCAACCGCUCGGCUGCAGAGUCAGUCCUGCCUCAGACUGGGUGUUGCUGAGCUAGAGAGUGGACGAUGUGCCUGGACGUGGUUGAAUUGGUGAUAAGCUUGACUUGACUGCCACCAGACCCGUUGUCCCUGCCUCGAGCUCCUUGAGCUUGAGAGCUUUGUACUUCAUGCAAGUGCGGCAACCAUGCGUCGAAUGAUGCUCUCGCCUUUCCUGGUUGCGGACACCACUCGCGUAAAUUCCUGCGACCUGCCAGCUUGUUCACCGGGCCCCCGGUGGAAGUGGCAGCCGUGCACGGCCACACAACCCUUGUCUCGCCAGCUUCGGAAUGCGGCAAGUAGUCGAUCUAGCUUUCACGAGAGAUCAGUUAGCAAUUGCGUGAGAACAAAACGAACUAUCCCACUCUACCUGAACGAUUUGCAUCUCCUUGGUGCUAGAUGUUUUUCUCGGAGAUUAAGUAGCUGGGAUCGGCAGUUUCAACUCCCUGUCAAUUCAAACUUUGCAGUUAACAAGACAAGAGAAAGCGUUCAAAGGAGUCUUAUCCAUGACGACGCGUGCCAACCGCGGUGAGGCCCAGUGGCACCGUCCAUGAUGCUGGCUUCCAUCUAGUUGUCAACACCGAUCAUCUCGUUGUCCUCCAUUGCACGCACCUGUAGAAAGGUGGCGUGGCGAUCGAUUUUCACGUAAAAAAAGCCUCGGCCAAGGGAAGGAUCGCAAUGGACUUCAACACAACCGGCAUGUUUCGAGCCAGUGCGGAUCACACAGGGCACCUCGAGGUCGGGGUGAAAGAAACUACAUCCUAGGAGACUAUGGCAGUAGCACGAAUAAAAGAUGACCACUCAAGAAGAAGAAGAGGAAGAUCUCACGGUCUUCUCAAGCAAUGCCAAGAGGUAGACUUCGUGGUUCUUGAGCCGUUGAACUUGGUGUAUCCCGGCCCUCCGGCAUACAGGGUGUGGAGCUGGUCACAUAUGGGAUGCGAUUUUGCAGAGGGAAGUUGAGAAUGCGUGAUCUCCUCAACCGGAUGGCUUGCCAGCGCACUUAGUUUUGAUUCAUGGGAAGAACUCCACACGUAAAAUGGAGAGAUGAUCCACGAUAAAAGAAAGAGGCCAGUCCAAGCAUGUAAGUGUCACCAUAAGGCUACUGCCUUGCCUCCUCAAUGCAAGCUGAUGCAGCGAACAGCCAAAAUCGUUCGCAUAAAUAGCUGCAAGCACUCAAAUAAAAAGAUUAAAGCAGAAGGCAAAUUAGCUGCUAGCUCUUGUUUGCUUCCAGAAAAUCCUGGAGCCUUGAAAGGGACCGGAAGGCCUCGUGAUCAUGAAGAAUAGAUAAUGAUUACACUCAAUAUGUUAAAAAGAAAUGGCAAUUUGAGAGUAAAAGAGCAUAUUUGGGCGGGAAAGCAGUCAAGUGCGAUGGCGGAGAAGGAGAAGGCGAUGAACAAGAAGGCUGCACAUCACAUUCAUGAAGGAGAAGCAGUUGGAUCACAACCUCAAAAUCUACAGAGAAGUACAAAAAUCUCUUUCUUUGCUUUGAAUGAAUUCUUUUGUUGCACAGAAGAAUUCCCUUGCUCCUCCACCUCCACCUCCUCCUCAGGAGCAUGACGAUCCAAAGCCAGAGGCGGAGACGAAGCCUGAGGCAGAAGAAGAGGCAGAGGCAGAAUAGAAGCCCAUUGCCACGAUUCAUGUGUAGUUAUGUAUGAUUCUUUGAAAUGUCUGGACUUCAAUUGUUCUAAUUCAGGCAAUCGUUAUGUUCUUUGUUUUAGGGUUUGUCUCAAUCUCAAUCAUUUCACGAUGCAACCUUGUUCUGUUAUUGUUCUAAGGUGGAGUUUGAUAAUGGCUAAUCCAAGAUCAGCUAUGGCAUAUUGAUAUGGUAGUGUAGUUGUGGUCCACUUGCUCAUGAUCUUGCAAUAUUUUGGUGUUUCAGACGAGGCAAAUGAUCGAAUCAAUCUCACACUAGCCACGUGGAGGCAUCAUCUUGCCUAGCUAGAGCUGCGAUCGGUUGCUCAAUGUGAGUGACUGAUGGCAACCAGGCUCCUUGUGACAAGCUCUCCUGAUGAUAAUUCAAGCCCAAUCUAAACAGCAAGAUCUAGAGAAGGUGGCGAAAGUCGAGGAGGGCAACUGGACGGUGCUCGAUCGGUGCAACAGCUACUGGUGAGAGCUCUCCAACGCAAGAGCUCGUCUGGAGUAGAGAAAAGCCUCGAUCCAGGAAGGAAGGAGAAGCUUGAAGAGAUGAACGCUAGGCACAGCAUCGACUCGUGUGGGACUUGUGGAAGCCCAGAUUUCCCUGCAAAGCUGAACGCACGGAGCCUUAGUAUGGAUGAUGUGAUCAACAGCUACGAACUUGUGGCAAACAUCUCUUAACUGGAAAGCCAUCGAGAGCUGUCUCUNNNNNNNNNNNNNNNNNNNNNNNNNNNNNNNNNNNNNNNNNNNNNNNNNNNNNNNNNNNNNNNNNNNNNNNNNNNNNNNNNNNNNNNNNNNNNNNNNNNNNNNNNNNNNNNNNNNNNNNNNNNNNNNNNNNNNNNNNNNNNNNNNNNNNNNNNNNNNNNNNNNNNNNNNNNNNNNNNNNNNNNNNNNNNNNNNNNNNNNNNNNNNNNNNNNNNNNNNNGAGAUAUCCAUUGGAGUAAAGGAUAUAGUACCUCGUGACACCUCGAUAGAUCGAGCUUCUCCUCUGCUGUGGAGCGCCUGGCAGGGAAGGGACUGCCUUCACCGGGCCAUCGGGGAAUUCUAGAGCAGGGAAUGCGUCCAAGCGGUGGCUGCCCCAGAAUGGAGGCGCUAGGAAUGGCAAUGCGUUCCAGCUCAGGUGGUCGUGAAUGUUCGCGGUGGCGGCGCCGCUCAUGGAUUUUCCAAGGCGAGCAAGAGGGAGUGUGGGGAAUGUUUUCCAGUGAAAGGCAAAGUUUUGGCUUCCAGGAUUGUCAUCACUGCAGUAGUGGUAUGGCUGGUUUUCCAGUCGGUGCUGCUGUUAGAAGGGAUCGUCACCAAGCGGUGGACCUGACGAUUUACAGCAGAAUUUUCUCAAUGGUUCUAGAGUUGGCCGAACGCGUCCAUCUGGCUUGGAGCAAAGAACUUUAGUUCAUGAAGAGCAAGGAAGCCUCCGCAAAGAUUAACAGUUCUAGUGCCAACUUUGAAGACUACGAAGAAAAUCUGGAAGGAGAAGUGGCUGUGGAGCGAGAUCUGCAUGCGAUUGAAGACGUGGAGAGAAUAGAAGAGGAGGUAUACCAUCAGUUGGAUGCUCCUUUCAUUGUUCUCAUUCCUUUUUUCUCCUUUUUCAUCAGCUGGAUGAGAAAAAAGAACAAGCCCGUGAACCGAGGCGUGAAAAGAGUCGAAAGGGAGAAGUUUGAGAAUCACGAACGUGACGAUGGGGAGCUUGAGCGCACUGGGCAGCCGCUAUGCAUUUACGAAACUUACGACGGAAACAGCGGCUGGGCUUCCCUCCAUCAGAAUUAUCCUCUGUACCGUGGUCUUAGUCUGGUAAGCUCGUGUUGUACUUGAAGUUCUCAUCACCUCAACUUUGAUGCAGUCACCGAGGGGAAGGAGACCAAGGGUCGACGACAUUGAUGCUGCAUCACGCCUUGUGCUUUUAAACGACACUUUCUACCGCGAUAGCUUUUGCGAUUUUGGUGGAUUUCUCGCAAUCGCUAACAGGAUUGAUCGAGUGCAUAAGAACUCGUGGAUUGGAUUUCAACCCUCGCUAGCUGCUACCGAAAGAGUAAGAAAUUGCGGAUUGACGGUGGAUACGAUCUUAAAUUUUUCUUUCCUCAGGUUGCUCUGUCGCCAAAAGCUGAAAACUCUCUAGCCGAGGCUGUGAAGGUCGGUAUUCAUGGCGAUGCCGUUUAUUUCUGGGCUGGCAAGUCGGAAGAUUUCUGGACUUCUUGCGAUGCAAGCAAUGCUGGAAACUGCAGGUAUGUGUCGAGACAAAGUUUGUCAAGGCCAACGGUGUUCAUUCCAGGCGGAUUUUCAUGGAGACAUUCAAGACAAUGUUUGGCUUAAACAAAGACCAACUGGACCUUCCAACGAUGCCAUCUGGUGUCUGGUCUAGCAAGCAUUGCUGGGCUAUGUCUACCUCAUCUUUCGUGAAGUUCGUCAUGUUUUCCCGGUCUGUUGCAGUUUGUUGCACGUACUGCAACGAAAUAUCUUCUUAACUGGUUAUCUUGUCCUAGGAUGUUCGUGGACGCUCUCGAUUCUCGGCUCUACAUUGAACAUCACGACCAUGGAAACUGUCCUCUUGCAACCACACAACUGGAGGUAUGGUACAACCUCGAAUUCUUUUGGCUGUGAGUUCUAAAUACUAAAUCUCUUAGGCUCAACACUGCUACUGCCGUCUACUUGAGGUCCUGGUGAACGUUUGGGCGUAUCACAGUGCCAGGAGACUCAUCUACGUGGAUCCUGAGACGGGUAUAAUGAUGGAGCAGAACGCUCUCGAGAGCCGACGCGGGCAGAUGAAAGUCAAGUGGUUCAGCUUUAGCGUGCUCAAGGGAAUGGACGAAGACAUGGCCGAGAAAGUUGACGACGAGCAUCCUACGUACCGGUGGCUCUGGCCACACACGGGAGAAGUGUUCUGGCAGGGAAUCUUGGAGAGGGAGAGGCAGGAGAGAUACAACAUGAAGUUGGAAAGGAAGCGCAGGAACAAGGAGAGGCUGGCUAGAAUGCGCAGCCGCUACAAGCAGAAGUCUCUGGGCCGCUAUGUGAAGCCACCACCGGAAGAGACGGAGCAAGAUCAAGCUGUGAAUACUGCUGCUCGGUGAACAGAUUCUUGGGUGAUUGUUUUGAGAGCCAGGAGAGCUCUUUCGACGCGAAUUGUAGUGUACGACUAUCAAGAGGUAAACUUUUUAGUGUACAUAUUCAGUGUCAUUGCUACUAAUGAGAUUUUCCAGCGUGAUGAUUCUUGGAAGCUGCAAAUGACCAAAGUUUUGUCUAGCGCUGAAGAAUCCGAUCAAAACACGCUUGAGUGAAGAACAGGCAAGAAUAUAGCUCCAGCAAAACCAGGACAGGGGGAAUUGAUCUAUAAUGGGUGUUGCUCGCAACUCUGGAGCAGUUCACCAGGAACUUGGGAAAGUUUUUGUUCCUGUGCGCGACUGUGGUUCUCCUGGGGGGAUUCGUGAACGAUCUGAGAAACUAUGACUUCUACUACGUCACUCUCCUGCUCGUUAGCUAUGGCAUCAGGAGCUUCCGGUUUCUCAACUUAGCCGAAGGCUUAAGGAAACCAAAGGUGAAUUCCCGCGUGGUUCUACUCGUCAUCGCCCUCCUUCGCCUCCUCGUCCUCUUUCCCUUCGGCGUCUAUAUAGAAACCUUGCUGCUGCCUCUCUGGCUGCUGCUUCUCUUGCUGCUGCCUCUCUGGCUGCUGNNNNNNNNNNNNNNNNNNNNNNNNNNNNNNNNNNNNNNNNNNNNNNNNNNNNNNNNNNNNNNNNNNNNNNNNNNNNNNNNNNNNNNNNNNNNNNNNNNNNUCUCUUGCUGCUGCUUCUCUUGCUGCUGUACAAUGCUCGCUCCGGGCGCUCAUUCGUCAUCGUCUACAACAUGGCCUACAAUACUGAGAUCCUUCUGGCUCUCGUCAGCCUCAGAGUCACGAUCCGCUGGCUACUACUACUGCACCCCAAGUAUCCAAAGUCCAACGAGUUCGUCGCAAUGAUCAGCUUCUCCUCGAUCGUCAUCGCCGAGUCGAGCUUGUUCCUGUGCAUCCGCGGCUGCUGGGAGAUCAUAUCAGUGAGGUACAAGAAGGCGAAGAAGAACAGGGACCGACCGAGAUUUCUCCUGGAAACUAAGUCCAAGUUCUUCGUUGCCGUGUACGAGACGACGUUGAGAGAUGGAGCCAUCAAGGGGCUAAGGAUGAACUUGGUCGACUACGUCGCGAACGAGUUCUUGGAAUCGAGAGGCAACCGGGAGCUGAGGAAAAGCUUGUUGAUGCUGGAUGCAGUGUGCCACUGGGAAGAAGAAGAUCAGAGAAAGCGAAGUGGGAAGCUCCUCUUGGCAUCUAAGCGUCAAGUUGUGGAGCGGCUGUUCGAGUGCAUGGGCGACAAGUACUAUCUCAUCUACCGGCGAGCGGCGAUUUCUCUAGUGGCCGAGAUCUGCGAAGAUGAAAACGCCUUCUUCGCUGUGGCACACGUCGUCCAGGCCAGUGAUGAAGGCGUCUCGCUUCUGGUGAAAGCGCUGGAGCCGGAUACCAACAAGUCGGUGCUGGAGCUGCUAGGAAAGCUUGCGGCAUUUGGAGGGAUUGCCAAUGCCGAGCCGGGUGUGAUCGCGAACUUUGAUUUUGCGCAAGGGGAUAUGGACAAGAAGUGGAAGGAUUCUCUCAGGAAUGGCGAAUGGAUCAUCUCCAUCGAUGCAGGAGAUGAUCCAGCCCGGGUUGAUGACGAGCCAGAGAUCCAGAGCUCCAAGCAGAAGAUCGCAGCGAAUUUGAGGACGCUACUCAGGAAGAAUCACGACUUGACAAGGUACCUCGCGAAUGCUCUCUUUUGUUCCUCCCAGGAGCUCCAGGAGCUAGCUCUAGACGCUCUCGCGGCAUUGCUAGCCUAUGAUCCCAGCCAUGGUGAUCUUCUCCCUGGCUACAAGAGCGUCAUCUAUGGAUUGUUCCAACUCCUCCGUACCUGCCAAGCUGAUCCACUAGGAAGCAAAGUGGCAGUAGUGCUGGAUCUUCUCUGCCGCAAGAAUCGCCAGUACCUUGAAACGCUACUCGAUGGAAGCGGCAGUAGCAGUGACGACGUUAUAGCAGUUCUCAUGAGCGCGCUCUCCUUUGGUUUGGAUAAUCACGAUGGCGAGAGGAGCAAGCAUGCAAUGUCGAUUCUGUGCAGCCUCCACGACCAGAAGCUGUUGAGCGAGGAGCAGGAGAAAGCGCUGGACAUCGCAAAGAUCGUGGACAUGGUGACCACUAUGACGAACUCAACACCAAGUGACCAUGGCUUGACUGGGGAGAGCUCGACCACCCAACCCAUGGAAGGGAUUGAUGUGGCAUUAGAAGUAGCCGAGCUUUGGGGUUUAGCUGCGCGGCCAUCACAAUCCUCAUCAGCUGUUCCGACGGCAUCACGGAUUCACAAUCAACCAAGGUAGGAUUUGGCAGAUGAUCUCUUGGAGAAGAGCACGCCAGUGCUGCAUUGGCAAGAUCCCCCAAAUUCCCCGCAGAGGGAAACUAAACAGAUCAGGAUUCCAGAGAUGCCGCAGCACAGCAUUCAAUUCUAAAUCUUGCUAAAUCAAAACUAAUAUAUUCCCAAUUGUUUGAAGCUUUGGCACGACUACAAGUCCAGUCAAACACACAAGUCUAAGAGAAACGUCAAUGCAGCUUUAGAAAAUUCUCUCAUUCGGAUUCUCUUUUCUGAUUGCCACGCCACUGACUAUUCCUGCUCGAACUGGAGCUUUUCUGUUGACGUACUAAAGAUCCCGCUCUACGCGGGAAUGGCGCAAGCAAGGAGGACGGAUCCCGGAACUCGGAGUUUGAAUAGUCGCAGGACGAUCAUCUUCCUCUGUCUGCCAGGAAGAAAGGUGAUCAAUGUACCUGAAAGAUUUUCUAGCAAAUCGUUUUGUGUUCGCUUGAAAUGUUUUCCAUUGAGAGUCAGGCCCCAGAAAAGUUGAAGAAUGUACUGCUGUGAAAGUUAUGGAUGGAUUCAGCAGGUACGCAUGGGUCUGUUUUCUUGGCUCAACGGCCACUAGCCGUUCCAGAGCGUCUUUGGCUGAUCAUUACAUUGCCAGCAAUGAGCUUUUUCUAAUCUAUCAUUCUCUCUGGCUGUUACUUAACGAAGAUGUUGCAGGCUCGCGCUUUCGGCAGCGAUGCUUGGUAAGCUUUCAUCUUUCGAGGCGUCGAGUAUUGUAUUCCAGGCAUGUCCUCAAAGACGUUGUCGAGAUGCCCGACGNNNNNNNNNNNNNNNNNNNNNNNNNNNNNNNNNNNNNNNNNNNNNNNNNNNNNNNNNNNNNNNNNNNNNNNNNNNNNNNNNNNNNNNNNNNNNNNNNNNNGGCCAGCAUGAGCUUUUUCUAAUCUAUCAUUCUCGCUGGCUGCUACUUAACGAAGAUGUUGCAGGCUCGCGCUUGUGGCAGCGAUGCUCGGUAAGCUUUCAUCUUUUGAGGCGCCAAGUAUUGUAUUCCAGGCAUGUCCUCAAAGACGUGGUCGAGAUGCCCGUUCUGGCAUACGUGGAGAGCAUCAUGACACCAUAAAACCCUAUGCAAUUUAUAAAGCUGAUAAACCCUUUUAUAUUGAUCUCUUUUAAGCUCCUUGAGAAUAUUCCUAUUUAAUUGGGUUCAGCCCCACACCUUUAUUCUAUAUACUGAGAAGAGUGUUGUUCAAUUCACAAAACUUACCUGCAGCUUUAAGUGAUUCAAUAUUCCCGCUUCGAUGGUGUGCAAAACGCUCUACUUACCACCUGACACGAGCCAUCAGGCCCGCUGCCGACAUUAUCCGGCAGGAGAAGGAGCGCUCUGAGAAAGAUGCAGCACCACUCUAAGCUACCAGCCCUAGGCAGCAGGUUGCCGGCGACAUCAAGCGCUCGGCUGCAGAGUCAGUCCUGCCUCAGACUGGGUGUUGCUGAGCUAGAGAGUGGACGAUGUGCCUGGACGUGGUUGAAUUGGUGAUAAGCUUGACUUGACUGCCACCAGACCCGUUGUCCCUGCCUUGAGCUCCUUGAGCUUGAGAGCUUUGUACUUCAUGCAAGUGCGGCAACCAUGCGUCGAAUGAUGCUCUCGCCUUUCCUGGUUGCGGACACCACUCGCGUAAAUUCCUGCGACCUGCCAGCUUGUUCACCGGGCCCCCGGUGGAAGUGGCAGCCGUGCACGGCCACACAACCCUUGUCUCGCCAGCUUCGGAAUGCGGCAAGUAGUCGAUCUAGCUUUCACGAGAGAUCAGUUAGCAAUUGCGUGAGAACAAAACGAACUAUCCCACUCUACCUGAACGAUUUGCAUCUCCUUGGUGCUAGAUGUUUUUCUCGGAGAUUAAGUAGCUGGGAUCGGCAGUUUCAACUCCCUGUCAAUUCAAACUUUGCAGUUAACAAGACAAGAGAAAGCGUUCAAAGGAGUCUUAUCCAUGACGACGCGUGCCAACCGCGGUGAGGCCCAGUGGCACCGUCCAUGAUGCUGGCUUCCAUCUAGUUGUCAACACCGAUCAUCUCGUUGUCCUCCAUUGCACGCACCUGUAGAAAGGUGGCGUGGCGAUCGAUUUUCACGUAAAAAAAGCCUCGGCCAAGGGAAGGAUCGCAAUGAACUUCAACACAACCGGCAUGUUUUGAGCCAGUGCGGAUCACACAGGGCACCUCGAGGUCGGGGUGAAAGAAACUACAUCCUAGGAGACUAUGGCAGUGGCACGAAUAAAAGAUGACCACUCAGGAAGAAGAAGAGGAAGAUCUCACGGUCUUCUCAAGCAAUGCCAAGAGGUAGACUUCGUGGUUCUUGAGCCGUUGAACUUGGUGUAUCCCGGCCCUCCGGCAUACAGGGUGUGGAGCUGGUCACAUAUGGGAUGCGUUUUUGCAGAGGGAAGUUGAGAAUGCGUGAUCUCCUCAACCGGAUGGCUUGCCAGCACACUUAGUUUUGAUUCAUGGGAAGAACUCCACACGUAAAAUGGAGAGAUGAUCCACGAUAAAAGAAAGAGGCCAGUCCAAGCAUGUAAGUGUCACCAUAAGGCUACUGCCUUGCCUCCUCAAUGCAAGCUGAUGCAGCGAACAGCCAAAAUCGUUCGCAUAAAUAGCUGCAAGCACUCAAAUAAAAAGAUUAAAGCAGAAGGCAAAUUAGCUGCUAGCUCUUGUUUGCUUCCAGAAAAUCCUGGAGCCUUGAAAAGGACCGGAAGGCCUCGUGAUCAUGAAGAAUAGAUAAUGAUUACACUCAAUGCGUUAAAAGGAAAUGGCAAUUUGAGAAUAAAAGAGCAUAUUUGGGCGGGAAAGCAGCCAAGUGCGAUGGCGGAGAAGGAGAAGGCGAUGAACAAAAAGGCUACACAUCACGUUCAUGAAGGAGAAGCAGUUGGAUCAUAACCUUAAGAUCUACAGGGAGGUACAAAAAUCUGUUUCUUUGCUUUGAAUGAAUUCUUUUGUUGCACAGAAGAAUUCCCUUGCUCCUCCACCUCCUCCUCCUCCUCAGGAGCAUGACUAUCCAAAGCCAGAGGCGGAGACGAAGCCCGAGGCAGAGGAAGAGGCAGAGGCAGAAUAGAAGCCCAUUGCCACGAUUCAUAUCUUGCUCACAAGUAUAUUAUAUUUUAAGUAGCCACUAUUCAAUGUGAAUUGAACCCAUACUAUUUGCUCCAAUACCAUAUAUACCACACUUAUUUUAUCCUCAUUUACCCUUUAAAGUUCUAAGGAUCCAUAGUGACAAUAUAUUUAAAUAUCAUCCCAUAAUCACAUGUGUUAUAUAAUUUAAAACCUUUUCAAUACUACUUGAAGUUGAACUUUUUGAGAAGUCACCUAGCCUAGUACUAUUUAGUCAAAUAUAUAUGUGAAGAUCAAUUUUUCAACUAGUUUAGGCAAAGACUGAUAAAGGAUCUAGCAAUACCAACCUUUUGUUGUAGUGCACCCUAUCUCUUCCCCCUUAAACCAAUUGGAUAGGAAGGAUUGUUAAAACUAAGUUACUAUAAAGACUAGCAUCCAAGAAAGUUCAAGUUUGCAUAUGCAUAUUAUGGGGUGAUGGAUCCCAACAAAGUGAACCUAGUGAAGGAAUUGAAGCGUAUUUAAGUAUUGUGAUAUAUUACAUUGACAUCUUCUUGUCCCCAACUCGAAGGCUAUAUCAAAGCUGUUGCAGAAACAUCUUUCUUCUUCAAGUUUACUUUGUUUAUACUUAGAGACUAAUUUCAAUUCUUUUUUGCGUAUAGGCUGUGACAACUUUGGAUAUUGCAAGACAAGGCUUGCAAUCUGAAGGACAACUUCAUUUCAAAUGAGAUUUUUCCGGAUAUUUAGAUUAGUUGCCACUACAACGUUCUCCUUAUCAAGUUAUUCAGAGAUAAGUAUUGAAAACACCCCAUUCCUAUAGAUUGAGACAAGAUUAGACCAUUGUGAGUCACUUUUUAGCAAAAUUGGUGGUAUGGUGAGAAAUGAGUGAAUUUAUGACUCAUUUGAUUUGCUGGAUAGUGCUGGUUCCAUAAACCAAAUUGCUGAGAUGAAGGCUAUAUCAAUUUUAAAGUUUCCAGCUUCACAUAAGAAACAAGAAUCUAUAUGGGAAUAUUUAACAAAGACUUGAGAAGCAACAUGGAGGAACAGUUGCAUUAAAGCUGACUGACUAUACAGGUAUGUCUUUGUUAAAUAUUCUUUAAUCUUACUCUCUUUCUCAAGUAUAGAAACAGAUUUGAAAAAUAUACAAGCUCUUCAAGCUGGCUUGCUUGAGGCGAAAGGUUUACUCUAAGUGGAGCAAACUUUGGAAAUAUAAGGAUUUUUUUCACAAAAAGGCAGCAAAAGCGUUAGAAGCUAUGAAUUGAACAAGUGGUGAGGGAGAUGUUUCAAAAGAGGUGGAAAGCAGUAUCACUUAUGAUGAUGAAGAGCUAGCAGCAUUGUUGGAACUACAACAUACUUUUGAUAGUAUGAUUGAUGAAGAAGAAACACUACCUCAACCACAAAUGCCACAGCAGGAAAGCUUCAAGCUGUUUGUGGAUUGAUGGUGGAUACAAUCUUAAAUUUUUCUUUCCUUGGGUUGCUCUGUUGCCAAAAGCUGAAAACUCUCUAGCCGAGGUUGUGAGGGUCGGUAUUCAUGGCGAUGCCGUUUAUGGCAAGUUGGAAGAUUUCUGGACUUCUUGCAAUGCAAGCAAUGCUGGAAACUGCAGGUAUGUGUCAAGACAAAGUUUGUCAAGGCCAACAGUGUCCAUUCCAGGCGGAUUUUCAUGGAGACAUUCAAGACAAUGUAUGGCUUAAACAAAGACCAACUGGAGCUUCCAACGAUGCCAUUUGGCGUCUGGUCUGGUAAGCAUUGCUGGGCUAUGUCUACCUCAUCUUUCGUGGAGUUCGUCAUGUUUUCCUGGUCUGUUGCAGUUUGUUGCACAUACUCCAACUUAACUGGGUAUCUUGUCCUAGGAUGUUCGUGGACGCUCUCGAUUCUCAGCUCUACGUUGACAAUCACGAUCAUGGAAACUGUCCUCUUGCAACCACACAUGGUACAACCUCGAAUUCUUGUGGCUGUGAGUUCUAAAUACUAAAUCUCUUAGGCUCAACACUGCUAUUGCUGUCUACUUGAGGUCCUGGUGAACGUUUGGGCGUAUCACAGUGCCAGGAGACUCAUCUACGUGGAUCCUGAGACGGGUAUAAUGAUGGAGCAGAAUGCUCUCGAGAGCCGACGCAGGCAGAUGAAAGUGAAGUGGUUCAGCUUUAGCGUGCUCAAGGGAAUGGAUGGCCGAGAAAGUUGACGACGAGCAUCCUACGUACCGGUGGCUCUGGCCACACACGGGAGAAGUGUUCUGGCAGGGAAUUCUGGAGAGGGAGAGGCAGGAGAGAUACAACAUGAAGUUGGAAAGGAAGCGCAGGAACAAGGAGAGGCUGGCUAGAAUGCGUAGCCGUUACAAGCAGAAGUCUCUGGGCCGCUAUGUGAAGUCACCACCGGAAGAGACGGAGUAAGAUCAAGCUGUGAAUACUGCUGCUCGGUGAACAGAUUCUUGGGUGAUUGUUUUCAGAGCCAGGAGAGUUCUUUCGACGCGAAUUGUAGUGUACGACUAUCAAGAGGUAAACUUUUUAGUGUACAUAUUCAGUGUCAUUGCUACUAAUGAGAUUUUCCAGCGUGAUGAUUCUUGGAAGCUGCAAAUGACCUAGCGCUGAAGGAUCCGAUCAAAACACGUUUGAGUGAAGAACAGGCAGGAAGCUAGCUCCAGCAAAACAGGAAAAUUGAUCUAUUAUGGGUGCUGUGUUGCUCGCAACUCUGGAGCAGUUCACCACGAACUUGGGAAAGUUUAUGUUCCUGUGGGCGACUGUGGUUCUCCUGGGGGGAUUCGUGAACGAUCUGAAAACCUUGGACUUCUACUACGUCAUUCUCCUGCUCGUUAGCUAUGGCAUCAGGGGCUUCCGAUUUCUCAACUUGUCCCAAGGCUUAAAGAAACGAAAGGUGAAUUCCCGCCUGAUCCUACUCGUCAUCGCCCUCUUUCCCCUCAUCGCCCUCUUUGGCCCCUUGGGCGGCCCAGUAUUGUUCUUGCAAUGCCGCUGCUUCUCUUGCUGCUGCCUCUCAGAUUUUUGUACAAUGCUCGCUCCGGGCGCUCAUUCGUCAUCGUCUACAACAUGGCCUACAAUACUGAGAUCGUUCUGGCUCUCGUCAGCCUCAGAGCCACGAUCGUCUGGCUACCACAGCACCACAAUUAUCCAAAGUUCAACGAGCUCGUCGCAAUGAUCAGCUUCUCCUCGAUCGUCAUCGCCGAGUCGAGCUUGUUCCUGUGCAUCCACGGCUGCUGGGAGAUCAUAUCAGUGAGGUACAAGAAGGCGAAGAAGAACAGGGACCGACCGAGAUUUCUCCUGGAAACUAAGUCCAAGUUCUUCGUUGCCGUGUACGAGACGACGUUGAGAGAUGGAGCCAUCAAGGGGCUAAGGAUGAACUUGGUCGACUACGUCGCGAACGAGUUCUUGGAAUCGAGAGGCAACCGGGAGCUGAGGAAGAGCUUGCUGAUGCUGGAUGCGGUGUGCCACUGGGAAGAAGAAGAUCAGAGAAAGCAAAGUGGGAAGCUCCUCUUGGCAUCUAAGCGUCAAGUUGUGGAGCGGCUGUUCGAGUGCAUGAGCCACAAGUACUAUCUCAUCUACCGGCGAGCGGCGAUUUCUCUAGCGGCCGAGAUCUGCGAAGAUGAAAACGCCUUCUUAGCUGUGGCACACCUCGUCCAGGCCAGUGGUGAAGGCGUCUCGCUUCUGGUGAAAGCGCUGGAGCCGGAUACCAACAAGUCGGUGCUGGAGCUGCUAGGAAAGGUUGCGGCAUUUGGAGGGAUUGCCAAUGCCGAGCCGGGUGUGAUCGCGAACUUUGAUUUUGCUCGAGGGGAUACGCACAAGGAGUGGAAGGAUUCCCUGCGCUAUACCUUCAAUGGCGAUGGAGAUGAUCCAGCCAGGGUCGAUGUAGAGCCAGAGAUCCAGAUCUCCAGGCAGAAGAUCGCAGCGAAUUUGAGGACGCUACUCAGGAAGAAUCACGACUUGACAAGGUACCUCGCGAAUGCUCUCUUUUGUUCCUCCCAGGAGCUCCAGGAGCUAGCUCUAGACGCUCAUGGUGAUCUUCUCCCUGGCUACAAGAGCGUCAUCUAUGGAUUGUUCCACCUCCUCCGUACCUGCCAAGCUGAUCCACUAGGAAGCAAAGUGGCAGUAGUGCUGGAUCUUCUCUGCUGCAAGAAUCGCCAGUACCUGGAAACGCUACUCGAUGGAAGCGGCAGUAGCAGUGACGAUGUUAUAGCAGUUCUCAUGAGCGCGCUCUC
rnacentral:lncRNA from 1 species